GGGUAUGAACUGCAGGGUCUGUGCUCAGUGACUGAGGGGGGUAUGAACUGCAGGGUCUGUGCUCAGUGACUGAGGGGGGUAUGAACUGCAGGGUCUGUGCUCAGUGACUGAGGGGGGUAUUAACUGCAGGGUCUGUGCUCAGUGACUGAGGGGGGUAUGAACUGCAGGGUCUGUGCUCUGACUGAGGGGGGUAUGAACUGCAGGGUCUGUGCUCUGACUGAGGGGUGUAUGAACUGCAGGGUCUGUGCUCAGUGACUGAGGGGGGUAUGAACUGCAGGGUCUGUGCUCAGUGACUGAGGGGAGGGAGGGGGGUAUGAUCUGCAGGGUCUGUGCUCAGUGACUGAGGGGAGGGGUAUGAACUGCAGGGUCUGUGCUCAGUGACUGAAGGGGGUAUGAACUGCAGGGUCUGUGCUUAGUGACUAAGGGGGGUAUGAACUGCAGGGUCUGUGCUCAGUGACUGAAGGGGGUAUGAACUGCAGGGUCUGUGCUCAGUGACUGAGGGGAGGAAGGGGGGUAUGAACUGCAGGGUCUGUGCUCAGUGACUGAAGGGGGUAUGAACUGCAGGGUCUGUGCUCAGUGACUGAGGGGGGUAUGAACUGCAGGGUCUGUGCUCAGUGACUGAAGGGGGUAUGAACUGCAGGGUCUGUGCUCAGUGACUGAGGGGAGGAAGGGGGAUAUGAACUGCAGGGUCUGUGCUCAGUGACUGAGGGGAGGAAGGGGGGUAUGAACUGCAGGGUCUGUGCUCAGUGACUGAGGGGGGUAUGAACUGCAGGGUCUGUGCUCAGUGACUGAGGGGGGUAUGAUCUGCAGGGUCUGUGCUCAGUGACUGAGGGGAGGGGUAUGAACUGCAGGGUCUGUGCUCAGUGACUGAGGGGAGGGGUAUGAACUGCAGGGUCUGUGCUCAGUGACUGAGGGGGGUAUGAACUGCAGGGUCUGUGCUCAGUGACUGAGGGGGGUAUGAUCUGCAGGGUCUGUGCUCAGUGACUGAGGGGAGGGGUAUGAACUGCAGGGUCUGUGCUCAAUGACUGAGGGGGGUAUGAACUGCAGGGUCUGUGCUCAGUGACUGAGGGGGGUAUGAACUGCAGGGUCUGUGCUCAAUGACUGAGGGGGGUAUGAACUGCAGGGUCUGUGCUCAGUGACUGAGGAGUGUAUGAACUGCAGGGUCUGUGCUCAGUGACUGAGGGGGGUAUGAACUGGAAGGGGGUGGUACCUGUCAAACAACAGCUCUCAUAGUUUUUGGUGUUUCUGUCAGGAAGGGUCAUCUGCACUGCUGUCUAGGGGAACCCCAUUUUCUCCAGAUGAGAAAAAAAUGUAUCCCUUAAUAGAAAGGCUGGUCGUUAAUUCGUAAGGUUGCUCCUGUAUUAAGACAACAGGACCAAAUCCAUUGUGCUGUUGUUGCUGUGGUCUGCUGAUGGAUCUGCUGCAGUUUCUUCAGGGUAAUACACUGAGAUUAAACCCUUAAUAGACCUAAAUUCUGAUUGAGACCCUAAUAUGGUCCUACAGGUGGAACUAGAGUAGAACACCCCCCCCAACAACUGAUGGGAUGGGACCCUUAAAUCAAGCAUCCAUAACAUUAAACACUCAACAGUGCCUAAUUUAAAAAUCCUAAAAGAAACUUCAUCAAUUCAAUUACAAUCGCUUCAACUUUAGAAGUGUUAACAAAGCAUUGAAGACCCUGAAAAAGACUUCUAGUUGAAGGUUUGUCAUUUCAUUUAUUACGCUUCUUUUAAUACAGGUUAAUCUGUCCACAAUUUAAAUAUCAUUACAUGUAAAUGUGUGAUUCCUGUUUUUCUAUGUAUUUUAAAUUGAACUUAACUAAAAUUUUGAUUUGCAAAUCAGUAUUCAAUAUUUAAAGACAUUUAAAAGUUUUGUAAUGUUAAACAGUCUAAUUUAGGAUACAUUACACCCCAGUUUUAACUACAGACCACUUUUCAAUAACAGGAAACUCAUGACAAACACCUUAUAAGGAUAAGUCCAAGUAUCCUCUAGCCUUUAACACAGAUAUACAAGCUCAAUAUAAAAUCAGUUAGUUAGUUAUUUGAGCAGGGUGGGUCAACUAGUUUGCACAGGUGUAGGUGAGACAGACACAACAACUAUUAUAGAUAUCCUGAACACCAAUACAUUGAACAACAGUCAAAAACAAGGGUCAUUCUAGCUGACCAGCAUUCUGUGGUCCAUUUGUGCUUGAUGAAAGAUCAAUGGAGAAAUUGGUUCUAGGGUAGGUGUAUGCGUAAGAACCGCUGUGUAACUCCACCGCGUGACAAACAGUAAAAAUGCCCGUUUUGGUGAUAUUGACCGAAUAUUUCUCCUUGAGGUAUGAUCUAGUCCCGUAGUUCAACUGGAGCCCAAAAAUGUUUCACUGUUGGGUGAGAGAGACAGACCUUGCAGUAUUUUAAUUUGGGUUUUAUCGUCAACGUUACUGCAUGGAAAGUUGUUUUAGACUACUUUAGAAUACUUUUUGUUUGCCUUGUCUCGGUUUUCAGUUCCCUGUUUAAAUUUGUUUUUAAAAAAGGGUCCCCCAAACAAAACAGUCUUGCGCAUAACGUUUCUAUUGUAAAGUGCUACAGAACUGCAGUGUUUACAAUGCAUUACUUCUCCUGUGCUGUAUCCCACUUCAACAUAAUCCCAUUGGUUGUGAUGCUUCUAUUCACACAUCACAGGUAAAUAAACUAGGGAAUAACUUUUUUCAACUUUUACUCGUUCGCCGGGAGAAAUGUUCCCCUAAACAUUGCUGUUUAUCCAGAUCAUGCUCCCUUUUGCAACAAUGUUAGUGACUGAAAUGAUUGUGGGAGCAGAAAACCGUCCAUAACUAUUAAACCCUCAAUAGCACUGAGUGUAGAUAUACUAAAGGAAACUUAAUAAACUGUCUAUAACUAUUAAACCCUCAAUAGCACUGAGUGUAGAUAUACUAAAGGAAACUUAAUAAACUGUCUAUAACUAUUAAACCCUCAAUAGCACUGAGUGUAGAUAUACUAAAGGAAACUUAAUAAACUCAAUAAGAAACUUUUCAAAGUUUUCAAUGUCUUCAAAAAGCAGCAUUUUUGCAGGAGGAAGCAUGGACUGGAUAUUAUCCUUAUCAGUAUCACUAGAUAAACGAUACAUAUCUUUAUUUUGAUAUGAUCUAUCAUGUUAAGAAAGUAUCACAAUUCAUCAAUAUGCAAUGAAUGAAUCGUCGUCGUCCCCCCCCCCCCCCCCCCACUUAUGAAUUAUGUGUGAUUUCAAACUUCAAAAAAGCAAGAUGUUUACAAAUAAAAUGCUACAAUACGGACAACACGGGAUACAGAAAGGUAAUGCAUUUUCUUUGUAAACACUGCAGGGGUUCUGGAACAGUAUAAAAUGUGCUUGGAAUCACCCAGAACUUGAUGUUGUGUAAACAGCACUUAGUGUCUUCUUGUUCCACUGAAUAACAGGUACCUCCCCUCUCUCCUUAGCCCCCAUUAUCAGUGAAAGUGUUCGUUUGUUCCUCCCUAGCAGAAAACUGCAAAAGCCGCUGACAGAAAGACAGGUGCUAGGUGUCAGCCUACCACCUCUUUACACAAACUUUCCAAUUCUGUUUGACUUUGAACCUGUUUGUACAUAAUGAAUAAUGAAAAGCAUGCACAUGUAUUGGUCUGUCAUGCAAUGACUUUGCUAAAUGUUUGAUACUGCUGGGUUUUUUUCAGUGAAAAAAAAAAAAACACACCUCUGUUUGGAUGCCACAGGAAUGUUUGCCUGUCUCUGUUUUUUUGUACUUUGACUCUGCUGCUUCAGCGACUGGAACUGAGAAUAACCUUGUUUAAAGAGUACUGUAUUUAAACAACUCCGCUCCAUCACUUUAUUGUUCAUAUAAUCAUAUAAUACAAUUCUCUUCCCCCGCAUAUCAUUCAUGGUAUUUGGUUUCUGAUUUUUUUUUUUGUCCACUGUAGUAACCAUUGUAGAACUAACCACAGCAGAAAUAACCACUGUAGAAGCAUCUUGUAAUGGUUAAUAGGUAUUGUUACAAACCGUGUGGAGCUAAACGUUUUAAACACCAGUUCCAAGGAUUAGAUGAAAACCAGAAAAAAAUACCAUGAAUGACAUGAAGGUGAGAGGAGGAAUUCAUUCUGUACACCCAAUUUGUUCCACCAAGAGUCAAUUUAUGUUGAAAUACCUUGUAAGUGUAGAAAAUGAAUCCAUACAUCGUGCCCGUUUUGCACUUCCAUUCACUACAUAGAUCUCCAAUGUGGCGAUUGACAGAAACACGUCUUACAGCAACAUGUGCAUUUUAAACAUACUUGGAGCUCCACUGGGUUAAAGAACAUGUUCACUUUCCAUGUCUCUGUUACACUUGCACAUCUGAGGUCACCUCAGCAGUGUCUUCUGGGCUACUGGCUGAAAGCAUGUCAGUCAACAGAGGAAGCAGCUGAUUGGUUAAUGACAGGAAAGAAGCCAUUGAUGGGGUGGGGACAAUUUCACCGUCCAUGUGAAAUGACCCAGGAAGUGCAACACUAAGUGAAAGUGUAAUCUCUCCUGCUCGCAGAGACUCAGAGGCGUUGUGGAAAUGGAAGUAAGCAUACCAAGACACAGUGGUGGUGGUAGCUGAUUGGGGGCCCCAAGGGGCAGUACUGUUAUUUCUUAUUACCCUGUCCUUUAUGUAAUUGAUUGCUAUUAAUCCGACUCCGAUUCUUAAUUAAAACAUUAUUUGCAGUUAGAAAAGGUGGAGCAAAUUUUGCACUGCAGCAAAAAGCUUUGAAAGUUGUCCUGUAAAUGUUUCUCUACUUCAUAACAUCGUCCUGGGUGUGUUCAGAGCAGAACAGUGCAACACUUGCAACAAUCUGUACUACUAAUCAGACAUAUGGAAACUCGACUCAAUAAGCAUUGUAUUACUUGCUUUCAACAGCAGAGGAUUUCUAUUUAAAGUCUAACUUGCUUUCUGUAUUCAGCUUGCUUACAUUUGCAACAUGAAUAGAUAGGCUAUCAAAUAGGCUGAAUACACCCAGUUCAAUGUUAUCUAUAGUCCCACCAGUUAAACAGAGAUACCAGAUUUUCCAUAUCAAUGCAAUGAAACAAUGAAAGGAUUUUAAUGUAUUGAUAGUCCAACAUCUGGAGAGUUAACAUUGUUACUCACAGCCAAUCCCCUUUCAAAAGAAAAAACAGCAAGAAAGAACCCAAUGGGAAGAUUCACGUUGAGCCUGAUGGAGAUUUUAAGAAAAAAAUAUUUUUGGGAGUUUUGUGAGGCUGAAAGUCUUGCUGGUGCCAAGCAUUGGAAGUUCUAGAUUUCUUAAUCUUAACCCAUUUCGUGUAUCUCUUAUCCAUAAGGGAAGAUUGUAAUAAUAAACAUUUCAUUUAUACUAAG